AUUGAACGCUGGCGGCAGGCUUAACACAUGCAAGUCGAGCGGAUGAAGGGAGCUUGCGUCUGGAUUCCGCGUCGGACGCGUGAGUAAUGCCUAUGAAUCUGCCUGGCUGUGGGGUAUAAUGUCCGCAAAAGGCUGCUACUACUGCAUACUUCCUGAUGCUGCUAGUUGGUGAGCUUCGGACCGUUCGCUCUCAUAUGAGCCUAGGUCGGAUUAGCUAGUUUGUUGGGUGAGGGCCUACCAAGCCGAGUAUCGGUUGAUGGACUGUGAGGAUGGUCGCUCGCCUUGGAACUGGGACACGGUCCAGACGCCUACGGGAGGCAGCAGUGGGGAAUAGUGGGCAAUGGGCGAGAGCCUGAUACAGCCGUGGCGCGUGUGUGAAGAAAGUCUUCGGAUUGUAAAGCACGUUAUGUUGGGGGAAAGGGCAUUAAGUUAAUACGUUGCUGGUUUGACGUUACCAACAGAAUAAGCACCGGCUAACUUCGUG
rnacentral:rRNA from 1 species